rnacentral:lncRNA from 1 species
AGGACUAAGACUUUUGACAUGCUCACUCCAGUAGAAGAACAACAUGAAAAACACAGUAGAACAUGUUGAAAAAUCAGAAAAGCUUUGAAUGACUCAACAGAACCCUAAAUCGGAAAGGGUAAAAGGGGUUGUGGAGGCAGAGCUUUGAAAGAAAUAUCGAGAAAACGUAUAAAUGUUAGGAAAAACACAGAUCUAAAACGAAUCUAAGAGAAUCAGAAGAACCUUGAAGGUUAGGGUUUCAGAAGAACCUCAGAUGGUGAGAAAUGCUUGGAAAUCAUCGACUAAGCAGGAAAAGUCAAGAUCAGGCUUGAAUAGCCAUGGCUGGCCGGAGCAAGGUCAAAGAUGACUAGAGACAGCCAUAAGAUCUGAGGUCGACGAAGGUCUGGGCCAAGCUUCUUCAAGGUCUGGUAUUGAAACCAUAAUAAUCGAGCAUGUAGGAGUCAUAGGAGGCAGGUACACGACUUUAAUGGAUUUGGAAGCCAUGGAUUCAUGUGAUUUUAGUAUAGAAGCGGAGGGAGGCGGCUAGGGUUUAAGAAGAGCUCGAGAGAGAAUUGGUAGAAGGGGGAAUUCAAGGGUGGCUG